rnacentral:misc_RNA from 1 species
UCGAAUUAUAGGCGAGGGUUGUAGCUGGCCUCUCGAGGCACGUGCACGCCCGAGCCCUUGAAUCCCACGACACACCUGUGAACCCACCGUAGGCCUUCGGGCUUAUGCAUCGUUAAUAUUACGCCGUAUGUGACAUAGAAUGUUAGAGACGAAUGGGAAAAAUGAUAAUA